rnacentral:rRNA from 1 species
UAGGGAAUCUUCCGCAAUGGGCGAAAGCCUGACGGAGCAACGCCGCGUGAGUGAUGAAGGUCUUCGGAUCGUAAAACUCUGUUAUUAGGGAAGAACAAAUGUGUAAGUAACUAUGCACGUCUUGACGGUACCUAAUCAGAAAGCCACGGCUAACUACGUGCCAGCAGCCGCGGUAAUCCGUAGGUGGCAAGCGUUAUCCGGAAUUAUUGGGCGUAAAGCGCGCGUAGGCGGUUUUUUAAGUCUGAUGUGAAAGCCCACGGCUCAACCGUGGAGGGUCAUUGGAUACUGGAAAACUUGAGUGGAGAAGAGGAAAGUGGAAUUCCAUGUGUGGCGGUGAAAUGCGCAGAGAUAUGGAGGAACACCAGUGGCGAAGGCGACUUUCUGGUCUGUAACAAACGCUGAUGUGCGAAAGCGUGGGGAUCAAACAGG